rnacentral:rRNA from 1 species
CCUACGGGAGGCAGCAGUGGGGAAUAUUGGGCAAUGGAUGAAACUCUGACCCAGCGACGCCGCGUGCGGGAUGAAGGCCUUCGGGUUGUAAACCGCUUUCAGCAGGGAAGAAGCGAAAGUGACGGUACCUGCAGAAGAAGCACCGGCUAACUAUGUGCCAGCAGCCGCGGUAAUACAUAGGGUGCAAGCGUUGUCCGGAAUUAUUGGGCGUAAAGAGCUCGUAGGUGGUUCGUCACGUCGGAUGUGAAAAUCUGGGGCUUAACCCCAGACCUGCAUUCGAUACGGGCGAGCUUGAGUAUGGUAGGGGAGUCUGGAAUUCCUGGUGUAGCGGUGGAAUGCGCAGAUAUCAGGAGGAACACCAAUGGCGAAGGCAGGACUCUGGGCCAUUACUGACACUGAGGAGCGAAAGCGUGGGGAGCGAACAGGAUUAGAUACCCUGGUAGUCCACGCCGUAAACGGUGGGCACUAGUUGUGGGGACCUUCCACGGUCUCUGCGACGCNGCUACGCAUAGUGCCCGCCGUCGGGAGGUACGAGCGCGAGAAGUUAAACUUAAAUUAGUUAGUUAGUUAGGCGUGNGACGNGCCGACGGACGACGACGAGGGAGGAGG